rnacentral:rRNA from 1 species
UACGUAGGUGGCAAGCGUUGUCCGGAUUUACUGGGCGUAAAGAGCGCGCAGGCGGUCGUUCAAGUCGCGUGUGAAAGCCCCCGGCUCAACUGGGGAGGGUCACGCGAUACUGAUCGACUCGAAGGCAGGAGAGGGAAGUGGAAUUCCCGGUGUAGUGGUGAAAUGCGUAGAUAUCUGGAGGAACACCGGUGGCGAAGGCGGCAUCCUGGACCGGCAUUGACACUCAGGUGCGACAGCGUGGGGAGCAAACAGG